AUGUCGGGAGCGGAGCCAUCGUCGGCGGCGGCGGGGGCGGGGGCGGGGGCGGGGGCGGGCAAUGGCCAGCACGCGGCAGUGGACAUCCGGGCGGCGGCGCAGCAGCCCGAGGAGCCGAGGCAGACGUCCAUGAGCGGGCCGCUCAACCUCCGGAGCGACCGGAGGCCGCCGCCGGCGCAGAGGGCCUUCAGCCGGCAGGUGUCCCUGGGCAGCGGCGUCGCGGUGAUGGGCAUGGACAGAGGCGGGAGGAACGGCGGCAGGCCCGGGCAGCGCGCGCUCCCGCGCAGCGGCAAGAGCCUCGGCGUGCUCAACCACAGCGGCGGCCUCGGCCCGGACGGCGCCGCGCGCAGGGGCGGCGACUUCAGCAUGUUCCGGACCAAGUCCACGCUCAGCAAGCAGAACUCCAUGCUGCCGUCGAGGAUCAAGGAGGAGCUCGACGGCGUCGACCUGGACCACGCCGAGGGCCAGCCCGCCGGCAGGCCCGCCGACGUGGACCCUCUCAACAAGAGCGUCCCUGCCGGCCGCUACUUCGCCGCGCUCCGCGGCCCCGAGCUCGACGAAGUCCGCGACUACGAGGACAUCCUGCUGCCCAAGGACGAGGUGUGGCCGUUCCUGCUGCGGUUCCCGAUCGGCUGCUUCGGGGUCUGCCUGGGGCUCGGCAGCCAGGCCAUCCUGUGGGGCGCGCUGGCGGCGAGCCCGGCGAUGGGGUUCCUCCGGGUGACGCCGAUGAUCAACGUCGCCGUGUGGCUGCUGGCGACGGCGGUGCUGGUGGCCACGUCCGUCACCUACGCGCUCAAGUGCGUCUUCUACUUCGAGGCCAUCCGGCGCGAGUUCUUCCACCCGGUGCGCGUCAACUUCUUCUUCACGCCGUCCAUCGCCGCCAUGUUCCUCGCCAUCGGCCUCCCCCGCGCCUUCGCGCCGGCGAGGCUGCACCCGGCCGUGUGGUGCGCGUUCGUGGCGCCGCUGUUCGCGCUGGAGCUCAAGAUCUACGGGCAGUGGCUGUCGGGCGGCAAGCGGAGGCUGUGCAAGGUGGCCAACCCGUCGUCGCACCUCUCCGUGGUGGGCAACUUCGUGGGCGCCAUCCUGGCGGCGAGGGUCGGGUGGGAGGAGGCCGGCAAGUUCCUGUGGGCCAUCGGCGUCUCCCACUACAUCGUCGUCUUCGUCACGCUCUACCAGCGGCUGCCCACCAACGAGGCGCUGCCCAUGGAGCUGCACCCUGUCUACUCCAUGUUCAUCGCCACGCCGUCCGCCGCCAGCCUCGCCUGGGCGGCCAUCUACGGCAGCUUCGACGCCGUCGCGCGCACCUUCUUCUUCAUGGCGCUCUUCCUCUACAUGUCCCUCGUCGUGCGCAUCAACUUCUUCCGUGGCUUCCGGUUCUCCAUCGCGUGGUGGUCGUACACGUUCCCCAUGACGACGGCGUCGCUGGCCACCGUCAAGUACGCCGAGGCCGUGCCGUGCUUCACGAGCAGAGCCCUGGCGCUGAGCCUCUCCCUCAUGUCGACGACCAUGGUGUCGCUGCUGCUCGUGUCGACGCUCCUGCAUGCUUUCUACUGGCGCUCGCUGUUCCCCAACGACCUCGCCAUCGCCAUCACCAAGGACCGGCAGAGCGGCGCGGGGAGGCCACACGGCAAGGGGAGGAAGGCCGGCAAGAGGGUGAACGACAUCAAGCGGUGGGCCAAGCAGGUGCCGCUCUCGGUCGUCUCCUCCAUCACCAAGAGCAACUCUGCAGACAAGGAAGAAGAGGAGAAAACAGACUAG
rnacentral:rRNA from 1 species